rnacentral:rRNA from 1 species
GAUGAACGCUGGCGGCGUGCCUAAUACAUGCAAGUCGAGCGAACAGACGAGUAGCUUGCUCCUCUGACGUUAGCGGCGGACGGGUGAGUAACACGUGUAUAACCUACCUAUAAGACUGGGAUAACUUCGGGAAACCGGAGCUAAUACCGGAUAAUAUAUUGAACCGCAUGGUUCAAUAGUGAAAGACGGUUUUGCUGUCACUUAUAGAUGGAUCCGCGCCGCAUUAGCUAGUUGGUAAGGUAACGGCUUACCAAGGCAACGAUGCGUAGCCGACCUGAGAGGGUGAUCGGCCACUCUGGACUUGAGCCACGGUCGCGACUCCUACGGGAGGCAGCAGACGGGAAUAUUCCGUACUGGGCGAAAGGUUGCCGGAGGAACGCCGCGUGAGGGAUAGAGGUCUUCGGAUCGUAAAGCUGUGUUAUUGGGGACGAACAAAUGGGUAAGUAAAUAUGCACGUCUUGACGGUACCUCCUAAGAGAGCAACGGCUAACUACGUG